CAACCAUCAAGCCCCGGGCUUGUGUUGGGGAUCUGCGGCUGCCCGCAGGCCCUGAAAACCAGUGGCGGGCUCGCUGUCACUCCGAGCGUAGUAGCACUCGUAUCUCGCUCAGGGCGUGCCGCGGGCUCCGGCCGUUAAACCGCCUCUUUAGCACCCAAA
rnacentral:misc_RNA from 2 species